AAAACAUUCUACUGAUUACAUAAAUUUGUAAUUCUUUCAAAUUUAUAUUUACUUUAUGAAUCAGGGUACAAAAUUGCCACAAUUUUUAAAAUAUGGUGUUAUAUAUCAUGUCUUACACUUCCUAUAUGAUAUGUGUAGAUUUUUCAACACUCAUUUUAAGAAGUAAUAACUGCAGUGUGUUCCUCUUGUUGUGCUUAAUUUGCAUAUAUGAAUAUGUUUUUUGUGCCUCCACCCCAUUUUAUGGGUGCAGAUGUGGCUACAAAACAUUCUCAGAAAUUCUGUGAGAAGCUUGUAGCUGCUGGUGCAAUUGGCACACUAUUGAAGCUGAUUCGUUCGGUCAGCCAUAGCAUCCCUGAUCAAGAGGUUCUAAAGUAUGCACUUUCCACACUCAGAAACCUUGCCCACUACCCCCAUUUAGCUGAACUGCUAAUUGAUACCCAUGGAUCUGUAGAAACAUUCCUCUUUGUGGUGCUAAGGUUAGUUUAUCUGUUACAUCUUUGUCGCAUACCAUAUAAUUUUCAUUCAUUGAUUUUUGUCCCUUUUGUCACUUCAAUCUUUUCUGUAGAAACAAGGAGGAAGGGCAUUUCAUUGCCUCUGAGCUUUUAAAGAAAUUGUGUUCAACACAGAAAGGCUUAGAUGCUGUACACAGACUCCCUGCUCUCUUAAAGAGCCUAUAUAGCCUUGCUGAGGACCUCAAGAGGAAAUCAAGUAAUGAGAAGAGGACUGCCCGCCCUCUGCCUUUAAGAGAGCACUGAGCGAAGGUUGAGAGAGGCUGAAGCGCUCUUGAAAUUGAUUGUACCUUGUUAAGUAAUCUUAACCAUUCAAUUCUCUUGAAAUCCUUGUUUGUAGAUUUUUUUUACUUUUAGAAUACUGAAAGUGAUACAUCUGAAGCAUGAUAGUGGAAAUUUGUGGUCUAAUAUGCAGAAAAUCCUUCUCUAGAAUCUGAGAACUCAAAGUUUAACCAGCACUAAGUUUGUGUAAGUGGGCAUGUAGCCUGGUAUAGAAUAGAUUGAAACCAAAA